rnacentral:snoRNA from 1 species
GGCCUCCUGGUGCUUACGGUGAAGAGCACUCUUACAGUGAUGCACAAAAAGGAGACAGAGGAAAACCUGUUCCAUAUGCAUGUCAGCUUGCACUGUUCUCAAUAUGCACUGUGAAUGGGGACAUGG